rnacentral:pre_miRNA from 1 species
UGACUAAGUGGCUGUGAUAAGUUUAAAAUCAUAGUCUUAUCACAGCCUGCUUAGAUCAGC